CCUACGGGUGGCAGCAGGGGGGAAUAUUGCACAAUGGGGGAAACCCUGAUGCAGCGACGCCGCGUGAGUGAAGAAGUAUUUCGGUACGUAAAGCUCUAUCAGCAGGGAAGAAAAUGACGGUACCUGACUAAGAAGCCCCGGCUAACUACGUGCCAGCAGCCGCGGUAAUACGUGGGGGGCAAGCGUUAUCCGGAUUUACUGGGUGUAAAGGGAGCGUAGACGGCAGCGCAAGUCUGGAGUGAAAUCCCAUGGCUUAAACAUGGAACUGCUUUGGAAACUGUGCAGCUAGAGUGCAGGAGAGGUAAGCGGAAUUCCUAGUGUAGCGGUGAAAUGCGUAGAUAUUAGGAGGAACACCAGUGGCGAAGGCGGCUUACUGGACUGUAACUGACGUUGAGGCUCGAAAGCGUGGGGAGCAAACAGGAUUAGAUACCCGGGUAGUC
rnacentral:rRNA from 1 species